rnacentral:rRNA from 1 species
GACGAACCGUGCAAACGUUAUUCGGAAUCACUGGGCUUAAAGGGUGCGUAGGCUGGUAUCCAAGUCAGGGGUGAAAUCGUUCGGCCCAACCGGACAAGGGCCCCUGAUACUGGGUAUCUCGAGGGAGGUAGGGGUCGAUGGAACUAAUGGUGGAGCGGUGAAAUGCGUAGAUAUCUGGAGGAAUACCGGUGGCGAAGGCGGCAUCCUGGACCGACAUUGACGCUGAGGAGCGAAAGCUAGGGGAGCAAACGGGG